rnacentral:rRNA from 1 species
AGCGAUCUGGAAUGUAAAACCAAGUAUAACAAAGGGGCCACUAGGGAUGACUUGGCAAUGGACCGGAAUGAGGUCAAAUCCAAACUGUCGAAUCCUUAACACGGGUAUGGGAUCCAACCCGGUCUCGACGAUCAAGGCCAAAAGGUACCCCGCCUACCCUGGGAACUGAAACAUCUUAUGUACCAGGAGGAAAGGAAAUCAACCGAGACUCCACAAGUAGUGGCGAGCGAACGUGGACAAGCUAUCUCUGUCAGGUCACGAGCUCAGACACAAACAAUGGCUUGGAAUAGCUAGCCAUAGAUGGUGAUAGCCCAGUGAUGGCACUUUGCUCACCCACCCCCGGCCUUGGCAAGAGUACCCAGCCGGUGCCCGGGAGAAUUGGCGGCUUGCCAAGCUGCUUUUAUACUACCCUGCCUUACGCAAUUCCAUCGCGUAAGGCAGGAAGGGUGAUCCAUCAUCAAGGCUAAGUAUGCUCCAUUGACCGAUAGUGCAGAGUACCGUGAGGGAAGGUUGAAAAAGCAGGUAGUAAACUGGUGAAAAGCCUGAACUAGUGGCUCCACAAGCAGCUGGAAUCACAGCAGCCAUUGGCUCCGGCCCAUGGCCGGCUCAAUGUGGGAUGACAGCGUACCUUUUGCAUAAUGGGUUACCGACCAUCAGACCCGAACCCAGGUGAUCUUGCCAUGGCCAAGUGCUGUUUCAUAAGACUGAACGGGUGGUCCGUUGCAAGGGGCUCCGAUGAGCUGUGGCAAGGGGUGAAAAGGCCAAUCUAACCUGGAGAUUAGCUGGUCUUCCGCGAAACCCGUUUUAGCGGGUCGCCCAUCAUUGUAACUAAAUUCGUUACUAGACGGUACGGCACUGGAAGCCACGCAGCUUUGCUGCAUAAUCGGGGGGCUGUCAUGGCUCUAUCGAUGGCUUCUAACCCCGGAAAUGUAUAGUAUACAAAGGUGGGCAAUCAGACGUAUCGUGAUAAGGCGAUUCGUCAAAAGGGCAACAGCCCAGAACAGGCGCUAAGGUCCCUAAGAACUACUGAGUGAACACAAGGCAGUCCUCUCCAGUGUCUCUCCACCAAGUGGGCUUGGAAGCAGCCACCUUUUAGCGAAAGCGUAACAGCUCAGUGGUCUGAGCUCCCCUGCCAUUUCGGCAUUUCUCUUCUAGCCCCUCCCCCCCCUCGGCCCACCCUCGGCCCAAGGACUGAGGGCCCUUGGUCCUCAGGCCGGGGAGGACUGAGGGCCCUUGGUCCUCAGGCCGGGGUGGCCGUAGGACCGCUGGGCGGCGACAUUUGUCCCGGGUCGCCCUGUGGCCACUCGGCACAGCCGGCCACAGGUUAGGUCCGAGGACCAAGGAAGGAAGGGAGGGGCUCAGCGGGGGGGCCCUCAACGAGGUAGAUGCCCUCGUUGAGGACCUUGGGGGUGCCAAAAUCGCCUAGUGAGGGCGCCGAGAAUGUAACGGGUCUAUAGUAGUUAAGUCACCCUAACCUAGAUUAGAGCGUAGCCACUGUUCAGAGCAGCAACAUUGACAAGGGCCCUUGUCAUGGUUCUUGUGAUCUGUUCUUGCUUGAUCCACCUCGGCUUGCCAAAGACGGAGCCUCUGGCUGUUGCCGGCUCGGACAGGCACCUUCGGUGUCUGCUGAGCCCCCCGGCCUGAGGACCAAGGGCCCUCAGUCCUUGGGCCGAGGGGGGCGGCGACCGCCGAAGGCGAACCUUCGCUUGUAAGGCAACAAACACGGGGCCUAUCUUUUUAGGUAUCUGAUUCUAGGUUACGAGGUGGCGUGGCAGCCGGCACAGGCGCAGAGCUCCUCCGCCUGCCUCACCGAAACCCUGUCCUAGGCGCGGGGUAGCGGAAUACCCAGCAAAUGGAAUGAAGGUGGCUCAUCGAGCCGGUGGACAUAGCUGGGCUGAGAAUGCUGACAUGAGUAGCCUCAAAAGAGGGGUAUUCCCUCUUCGCCGGAAGCAGAAGGGUUUCAUAUGUUAGGUCCAUACCAGCAUGAGUAAAGCAGCGGCCUCUAAGGCAGCUUAGGGUGGCGGAGUGCCGAUGAGUAACUCUUCUGUAGGGCAGUAACCUUCCUUACAAGUAUACCUGGGUCUGCCUGACCCGACCUGAUCCCCGCCUUCGGCCCCUCGGUCCUCAACGAGGGCAUCGUACCUCGGCCGAGGGCCAGGACUAGGGGCCACCCUGUGGUCCUACGGCCACCCCGGCCUGAGGACCAAGGGCCCUCAGUCCUUGGCCUUGGACCCCGGCCAAAGUACCAGGUAAUCAGAGGUAUACUUCAUGGGAAAAAGGUUCGGGAAAGAGCUCUACGGAAACCCCUGACCCUUGGCCCAGACGCCGCCUCCGGCCCAAGGACGGGGCGCCCUUGGGCCGAGGGGGGCGGCAAACGUCGAGCUUAGCAGGAACUACAGCGGAACGGAGCAGGGGGAGACGUCUGGAAAAGUACAGCCAACCGUACCCUAAACCGACACUGGUCUGCUGGUAGAGCAUACCAAGGCGUAGAGGUAAUCGUCUUGAAGGAACUCGGCAAGAUGACCCCGUAACUUAGGGAGAAGGGGUGCCACUAGUUAGGUGGCGGCACUAAACAGGGGGGCGCGACUGUUUACUUAAAACACCGGACUCUGCUAACACUAGCGUGGAUGUAUAGAGUCUGAGACCUGCCCGAUGCUAGAUAAUCAACUAAGCCGUUCUAGGAUGGCAAGGGAAGCUCUAGUCAAUGGCGGCUGUAACCUUGACGGUCCUAAGGUAGCGAAAUUUCUUGGCAUUUAAAUGAUGUCCCGCAUGAAUGGUUGAACGAAGCUCCUACUGUCUCCAAGACGAGCUCGGCGAAAUUGAAUUAUCCGUGAAGAUGCGGAUUACCCCCAGCUAGACGAGACAAGGGAUAACAGGCUGAUCCCCCACGAGAGUCCAUAUUGACUGGGGGGGUUGGCACCUCGAUGUCGGCUCAUCCUAUCCUAGAGCUGUAUAAGGUUCUAAGGGUUCGGCUGUUCGCCGAGUAAAAGGGUACGUUGAGCUGGGUUAAGUACGACGCGAGUCAGUACGGCUUCUAUCUACUGGGGGGAGUUGGAAGUAAGGAGGAAGCUGUUUUUAGUACGCGAGGACUUAAAUGGAGCGACCUCUGGUUUACCAGUUAUCAGCGGCCAAUAAGGCGUAUGGUACGGCUGGAAAGCUACGUCGCGAAUAGAUAACCGCUGAAACCAUAUAAAGCGGGAAACUAAUCCUCUAUACUUCCUUAUAAACUUAGGGUAGAUCACCCUCUUGAUAGGGCACCUGGGUGCAAGAGCAGUAAUGCUUUCAGCCACAGGCUACUAAUGGUUAAGAAACUUGGUUUUACCAGAUCGUU